GAUGAACGCUGACAGAAUGCUUAACACAUGCAAGUCAACUUGAACUUCGGUUUGGGUGGCGGACGGGUGAGUAACGCGUACAGAACUUGCCUCACAGAUAGGGACAACAUUUGGAAACGAAUGCUAAUACCUGAUAUUAUGAUUAUAUGGCAUCGUAUAAUUAUGAAAGCUAUAUGCGCUGUGAGAGAGCUUUGCGUCCCAUUAGCUAGUUGGAGAGGUAACGGCUCACCAAGGCGAUGAUGGGUAGCCGGCCUGAGAGGGUGAUCGGCCACAAGGGGACUGAGACACGGCCCUUACUCCUACGGGAGGCAGCAGUGGGGAAUAUUGGACAAUGGACCAAGAGUCUGAUCCAGCAAGUCUGUGUGCACGAUGAAGUUUUUCGGAAUGUAAAGUGCUUUCAGUUGGGAAGAAAAAAAUGACGGUACCAACAGAAGAAGUGACGGCUAAAUACG
rnacentral:rRNA from 1 species